GCGGGUGUGGCGGAAUGGUAGACGCCGGGGACUUAAAAUCCCCUGGGCUUUGCCCGUGCCGGUUCGAGUCCGGCCACCCGCA
rnacentral:tRNA from 1 species